rnacentral:rRNA from 1 species
AGUUACCAGCACGUUAUGGUGGGCACUCUAAGGAGACUGCCGGUGGACAAACCGGAGGAAGGUGGGGAGUGACGUCAAGUCAUCAUGGCCUUACGGCCUGGGCUACACACGUGCUACAAUGGUCGGUACAAAGGGUUGCCAAGCCGCGAGGUGGAGCUAAUCCCAUAAAACCGAUCGUAGUCCGGAUCGCAGUCUGCAACUCGACUGCGUGAAGUCGGAAUCGCUAGUAAUCGUGAAUCAGAAUGUCACGGUGAAUACGUUCCCGGGCCUU